UGAUUCUUGUCUCAUUGGAUUCGCCUCAACUUUCUGAACAAGCACCAAGAAGGACCAGACCUGGGUAGAACGAUUUCACGUUCAUCGGAGCUCGACUGGUUUAGAUCGACAAACAACCCUUCGAUCCGUGUAUCUCGAGUUACAGACCACCUCUUUAUGUGAUUCUUGGCUUAGUGAGUUCGUCUUGAAGUUCUGAACAACUCUCCAGAAGGAAUAGAAGCGUUUCGUUGAAGUUUUUACGUCGAAACUCAAGCUCGCCGGAUUCUGGAAUUUUUCCGACCACCGAAGCUUUCGAUCGGUAUAUCUCGAGCUACAGACCAUAUUUUUCUGUGAUUCUUGAACCAAUGAGUUCACCUUGAGUUUCUUAACAACUCUCUAGAAGGGAUCAAAGCCUGAAAUUGAAGUUUUGACGUCGAAAUCAAGCCUUGCCGGAUUCUGCAAAUUUCGCCGGAUUCUGGAAAUUUUCCGGCCACCUCGACUGUUUUAGGUGAUUGACGGUCUCCCUUGGGUGAGCGAUUUCGGUGUGUAUUGUGUUAAACUGAAGACGCAGCGGGAAUAUCGAGCGGGUAAUCCUACAGGUCAAGAGAAUCAGGACGGAGAUCGAGCUGCGUAGAGUAGCUGCAAUUGUGUCAAUCUGAAUUGCUUUGUGAGCCGGUGAGGUGUGUUAUGCUCAUUUAGAGCUUUACAAUAUUUCUUGUGAGAGUGAAUUGUAAUAAUGAACUCGAGGUUUCGAAAUUUGAAGUUUGUGUAUCGUGUGGUGAGGUUGUUUUGAGAAAAAAAUUCAGAACGUUUAUUUGAUUAAGUGGUUUAAUUCAUGUUUCGGAUUUGAACUUAUUAUUCAAAAUUCGGGGCGUGACAGUUUGGUAUCAGAGCGUAAGGUGCAUAUUCGGUGAUGUGUCAAUACUUUCCGAGUGAUGGCCCGUCUGCAGCGGAUCCCCAUCGUGUGCUCUUCGGUAUUGGCUAAGUCAUUGGGUAUGCGUGAGUGUUGAGAGUUGUUUAGGCCGCUAGGUCGUUUUAGGAACGUGAA